AUUCUAAGCCUGGCUCCGUCACUUGUCUGCUGUGUGACUUUGGAGCACAACAUUUGACUAAGACCAAAGCUUCAGCUAACUAUGACCAAUAAAAUCUAAACUGCAAGGAAAAACCAGGGACGAGCCAAGCACGGGAAGUUGGUGCUUCAGGAUGACCCUGACACACUCAGAAAACCAUCACAUCAGUUCUAGGGGCAGGUAAGCCACAAUCUGUUACACUUUGGGCUUUGUGUGCAGAUAUUUUGGUCUGUGUUAGCCGUAACUCCAAA